UACGUAGGGGGCAAGCGUUGUCCGGAUUUAUUGGGCGUAAAGAGCGUGUAGGCGGUUUGGUAAGUCCGCUGUGAAAACUCGAGGCUCAACCUCGAGACGCCGGUGGAAACCAUCAGGCUAGAGUCCGGAAGAGGAGAGUGGAAUUCCUGGUGUAGCGGUGAAAUGCGCAGAUAUCAGGAAGAACACCCGUGGCGAAGGCGGCUCUCUGGGACGGUACUGACGCUGAGACGCGAAAGCGUGGGGAGCGAACAGG
rnacentral:rRNA from 1 species